UAAUUUAUGGCUGUCACUAUUUGCACAAAU
rnacentral:piRNA from 1 species